GGAUGUGAGGGUGACCUGGCUAUGACAUCUGUCACCCCAUUGAUCCCUAGGGUUGAAUCAGCUGAUCUGGCUGGCUAGGCGGGUGUCCCCUUUCUUCCUCAUCAUUCCAUGUGCAUCCCUCCAGAUAUGCACUUGGUCAAAGAGGAUGGAUGACCUUUCCUGAAUAGAGAGGGACUGGUCUGUAAUCUAGGGUAUAUGAGUAGCUGUGCUUUCUUGCUAGAACUUCCAACCAAAAAUUGUUCUAAACUUUACUUUCUCUCCCUCUUCCUCC
rnacentral:snRNA from 1 species